AUUGAACGCUGGCGGCAUGCUUUACACAUGCAAGUCGAACGGUAACAGGGAGCUUGCUCCGCUGACGAGUGGCGAACGGGUGAGUAAUGCGUCGGAACGUGCCGAGUAGUGGGGGAUAACGCAGCGAAAGUUGUGCUAAUACCGCAUACGUACUGAGGUAGAAAGUGGGGGACCUUCGGGCCUCACGCUAUUCGAGCGGCCGGCGUCUGAUUAGCUAGUAGGUGAGGUAAAGGCUCACCUAGGCGACGAUCAGUAGCGGGUCUGAGAGGAUGAUCCGCCACACUGGGACUGAGACACGGCCCAGACUCCUACGGGAGGCAGCAGUGGGGAAUUUUGGACAAUGGGCGAAAGCCUGAUCCAGCCAUGCCGCGUGUCUGAAGAAGGCCUUCGGGUCGUAAAGGACUUUUGUCGGGGAGGAAGUCCCCAGCGCUAAUACCGCCGGGGGAUGACAGUACCUGAAGAAUAAGCACCGGCUAACUACGUGCCAGCAGCCGCCGUAAAAC
rnacentral:rRNA from 1 species